AAUUAAUUUUAGGGCUAAGCUGAAGGGAACAAAACUGGAGGGAAGAGAUUCCUUCUCACAGUUACAGUUGAGGUGGAAGAAGCUACUGCAUUGAUCCAAUUCCGCGCCAAUGAACAGUUCUUCGGAAUCAUCUAAAGCAAGGAAACGCCGAAGAGAGGCCGAAAUUGAAGACGAUGGCGAUGGCAAUGGCAAUGGCAAUUCUGAAAUUGAUUCUCUAGAGGAUUGUCUUACAUUUAGCGAUACUUUGGUGGCGCUUCGUAUGAUGCGAGUUCAGUUUCCCAACAUCGACAAGGUGUCAGUUCAGCCAUUCAUUUUGCAAUCACAGUUGUAUAGUACUUUGAAAGACCGAACAGAAGUAGACAGGGAACUAGAGUGUCUAAAACGAGAAAAAGUAGUGCGUGUAUUCAAACUGAAUACUGGACAAGAUGAUCAUGCAAUAAUGUUUCUGGAUGACUAUCUGAAGCAGAUUGACCAUGUGAUAUCAAGAUUUGAAGAAAGGAUGCAACUUGGCACGGGAAUUUUUCAGUGGUUUAAGACGCAUGUUCUGGAUUGCAAAUUGGAACCUAGUAUUGGACAUCAGGAGCUUUGCACUCUCUUAUCUCUUGGGGGAAAGGUUAAAGAUGAAGAUAUCUCCCUCUUGAUCAACGCUGGACUCCUUAAUCGCCAACUUAUUGAUCCAAACGUGUAUUGGUUUGCAAUUCCAAGUAUUGGUUCAGUACUGAAAGGCAUUGCUCAGGGUAGAAAGGAACUCAUUUCUUUGCUAAAACGUACCAAAUAUAAAGAAAUGAUGAUGACAUCUUUGCAGAAGAAGCGUCUUCGUUUUUCUUCGCUCGAUAUGAGAUUUCACAUACGGGAUUUAAUUGGCUCAGGUUACCUCCGAACUGUGCAAUCACCAACAGGCUUACUUGUUCAGUUAUCGAAAGAUUGAAACCAGGGAGGAUUGAAUCAUGUGCUUCUGUUUGCUGUCAUCCCAUUCAUGUUUAUUGUCUUGCUCAAAGCUAGGAACCAUAAAAUCAUUUGAUGGCUAUGAUCUCAAGUUCGAUAAAUUGGGGAGCUUAGAGAAUAGAUAACUAAAACAUUAUCAUCUCAACAAUCGGUGUUGAAGGAAUGAUCUUAAUUAUGUCGAUGUAAUUCUUCUGUUAAAGUUAGGAUAUAUUUGUGUAAUCCCUCGACCUCACUAAUUUAUCUUGUUGCGUAAUAUACUUAUUUAGAUUUAUUGUUAUAUUUAUUUUGAUUUACUGUUACUAGUAUAUGUGAGUUUAUUCGGAUUUAUUGUCACCUCAUAUCUAGGGAAUAUAAACGGCACAUGUACGAAAAUAAAUAUGAAAAGCAAGCUAGAUAAUUUAAACCGGUAGAACCUUCUUCAAAGGUUGUUUGACAAGGAGUUUACUUGUCUAAACCAUAGUGGAAAUAAGGGCAAUAUGAAUGAAUAGAAGAAACGCUAUAUGAAUUACUAAUACUUAGUGUUACCUUUCUCCAUGGACCAGAUUUAGAUGAAGAACUGCUUUGCAGGUCACACUGUAGAUAUAGAAAUAUGAACAAAAAGUAAAUGAGAAAAUGAGCAAAGCAACUUGCUCUGACAAAUUAACCAAAGAUAGUGGGAAAUCAUGCUACCUCUUCAAACUUUUCAAAAUUUUGAGUGUCUAGCUCAUCUUUAACCUCGGGAACAAAUGCAGCUUCCAUUUCAUAUAGCCUAUCCCAUUCAAUACCUUCAAACCACGGAUGAACCUAGAUGAUAAAUUGGCAGGCAGGAACCUUGAGAUUAUUUAAAUUUUUCCUAAUUAAACCAAAAGAAAUUAAGAAAUGGACACACCAUACAACACCUUAAUGUCAUCCGCGCCAUUUGUACCUAGCCUCUCGUCAACAUUGCAUAGUAGUUUGCUGAUAAGAUCUUUUGCCAAGGGAGAUAGCUUUGCUUCAUCAGGGAACACCAAAUGAGUUCUCCAGUUCACUAUCUGGAAAGAAUAACAACGCAAAAUAAAAUUCAUAUGAGUUACAUAGGACUUCACGGAGUAUCUAAAAA